rnacentral:pre_miRNA from 1 species
ACAACGUUCAGAGCGUCGGUCUACCACCCGCAAUAUCAACCGCUCAGUGGAAGAUCUUCCUUUCGUCGU